GAAACUGGCGAUGGCGGCGAACGAGAGACAGCGGAUAGUAACACGACGACUAACAUGAGAAAUAUUUUUAUUUUCUGCUUGCAACUGGACCGUCUAGAGCGUACACGAUAAGCGGGUAUUACGUCGCAGUCAUGUGCCGCGCCAAUGACGUCAAUAGGCGGAAAUCCCGCCAAGAUUCAAAUCUGUGGGCGCGGAUUGCCGUGAGCGAGACAGCGGAUACAAACACGACGAUUAUCAACAGAAAUAUCUUUAUUUUCUGCUUGCAACUGGACCGUCUAGAGCGUACACGGUUCCACGGUGUUCUUUGGCUGUAUGUUUUCCACUG